GACGAACGCUGGCGGCGUGCCUAAUACAUGCAAGUCGAACGCUGAAGGAGGAGCUUGCUUCUCCGGAUGAGUUGCGAACGGGUGAGUAACGCGUAGGUAACCUGCCUGGUGGCGGGGGAUAACUAUUGGAAACGAUAGCUAAUACCGCAUAACAGUAGAUGUUGCAUGACAUUUGCUUAAAAGGUGCAAUUGCAUCACUACCAGAUGGACCUGCGUUGUAUUAGCUAGUUGGUGAGGUAACGGCUCACCAAGGCGACGAUACAUAGCCGACCUGAGAGGGUGAUCGGCCAAAAUGGGACUGAGAACAGGCCCAGACUCCUACGGGAGGCAGCAGUAGGGAAUCUUCGGCAAUGGACGGAAGGCUGACCGAGCAACGCCGCGUGAGUGAAGAAGGGUUUCGGAUCGUAAAGCUCUGUUGUAAGAGAAGAACGAGUGUGAGAGUGGAAAGUUCACACUGUGACGGUAUCUUACCAGAAAGGGACGGCUAACUACGUG
rnacentral:rRNA from 1 species